rnacentral:rRNA from 1 species
AUUGAACGCUGGCGGCAGGCCUAACACAUGCAAGUCGAACGAGUGGCGGACGGGUGAGUAAUGUCUGGGAAACUGCCUGAUGGAGGGGGAUAACUACUGGAAACGGUAGCUAAUACCGCAUACCAUCAGAUGUGCCCAGAUGGGAUUAGCUAGUUGGUGGGGUAACGGCUCACCAAGGCGACGAUCCCUAGCUGGUCUCAGAGGAUGACCAGCCACACUGGAACUGAGACAAGGUCCAGACGCCUACGGGGGGCAGCAGUGUGGAAUAUUGCACAAUGGGCGCAAGCCUGAUGCAGCCAUGCCGCGUGUUUGAAGAAGGCCUUCGGGUUGUAAAGUACUUACAGCGGGGAGGCGUUAACCGCAGAAGAAGCACCGGCUAACUCCGUGCACGCAGCCGCGGUAAUAC